UAACUGGCCCGGAGUACAUUUCAUUCUGAACAAACCACACUGCGGUUUUCUUGGAACACGACUCUGACUCACAUUGUCUGGCAUCUCUGACCAGUUACUUGGCACGUGUCUGCGUUUCAGCAGCAUUGUUUCCACCUGCCCAAAAAAACUAAAGCAGGUAAAUUCUGCAGGAACCCAAAACGUCUUUUUUUCUCACCAGCUCCUGCUCCAGCUGACCUGUUCCCAGAUACAAGGAGGCCAUCACCACUCGCCUCCUCGCGGUCUUGAUUCGUGCCUGUGGCGAGAGGGAAGAAGGAAACACAACAAAGAAUCAUGACAGAGAAUGUAAGGACGGUGCGAGGACAUGCGGGCGUCAGGAAUCUGGUCACAGAGGUCUGAUACUAUGAAAAAGGAGGACACAUGAUCGGCUCAUUUUCUGCUUACGGAUACGGACGAAACAAAGCAGUACCACAGGAAAUCAUGGGGGGUGAGACGACCAUUAGACAGGAGCACGGAAUUUCAACGACGGCUUGAGGAGACACUUUGAGGUUUGGUAAGAAACUACAGGCCUCUAUUAUCACUACCUCCACCGCCAUGGUUGUUGUUGUUUUGUAAGAAACUCUUGACUCUUCCCUGCCCAUUAAUGGAAACGGACGUAUCUCAUAAGAAAAUAAAUGGGGGAGGGAACGAACUCUGGCUCCGUCUUUAUUUAUUUUGUUUUUUAAAUCAUUCCUUUACCCCAGAAACGAGCCGUGCUGUUAUGACAGUGACACUGACCUUCAUGGUCUGGUAGAACUGGUCGGGUGACCUGAGAAUGUGGAUGCGGGUUCCCGGCACCCUGAAGGCGGGAACGUGCUCUGCCAUCCAUUUGAAGUGGCCGCAGAGGCCGUCUGCGCUGCCCUGAGCUCCGGCUAACCCUGUGGGCCUUGUGACGUGGUACGGGGCCGGGUCGGCUUCGGCCAGCAGGGGAGCGAGCAGCAGCACGGAGGAGCUGGAGGAAACAUGGAAAUGAAGAGAUAGAGUUGUUAGUUUGUCUGUUUGUUUGUAAGGAUGAUAAGAGAUUAUGCAAAACUCAGUGGAAGGAUGUGUCCAGAGAGAACCCGUUAAAAAUUUGGGCAUAUUCGCAUCAGGGGACAGACCCAGGAAGGUUUUUCACUACUUCAACAUUGCAAGAUUGGACAUUUUUCAACAUUUCCCUUGAUUACUUUGGGAAUAAUUCAUGGAUCUUGAUGGGAAUAAUCAUGUUUAAGUGGACUGAUAUUAAUGAGUGUGUGCAGUUGGGGCAGAUUCAAAAUUAAGAGGGCUGCUGGGGCUCAGCAUAAGAGCUCAAGGAUAGUAAUGUUGGUCUGUCCUCCACUUAGGACAGAAGAGAAUUACAAGAACAAGAAUCCCACCGACUCUGCUCCCCUGACAUUUGAAGUAGUGCCAUCAUGAAGCUGACAUUAGUAGAAACAGUUAUUGGAUGGAUCACUGCGAAAUUUGGUGCAAUUUUAAUUUUUCAUCCUCACUUCUGUCCUCACCCUUUUAAAUACUUCUUCUUAAGUCAGUUUUCCUUCUAGUAAAUGUGUUUGAUCAAACAGUAAAAAACAAGCGUGUUGUUCUAUUUCUGACUUUAUUUCUUCUCUUUGAAAGUCUCCAUGGAAACCCAGGUGACAGUGUGGAAAACAACCAAUCACUAUGGACGUGUCUCCUUGUCGGGGAAGACCAGGUCCCUGAGGCCUCGGGGUGUCAACAGCAACAGGAAUACACCAGCACGAUAUAGGUAGUUCAACUGGUCCACCGAGCUAAAACCAGCGUGGUGCAAUAGGAUAAGUCCUCCCUUCACGGAGGUUAUAAUGUCAAGUUUUACUGUUUCAGAGACACAUUGGUCCAACAGUAUCAUGAUUUAUAUUGUCUUAUACUGAAAUGGUGUAUUUUGUUGUUUAACCUACCAGGAUGAAUAUGAAUGGGAUGGACUAAAUAAAAUAUAAUA